UACGUAGGCAGCCAGCGUUGUUCGGAAUUACUGGGCGUAAAGAGUGUGUAGGCGGUGCUCCAAGUCUGGUGUGAAAUCUCCCGGCUCAACUGGGAGGGUGCGCUAGAAACUGGAAUGCUAGAGGAUGGGAGAGGUAAGCGGAAUUCCUGGUGUAGCGGUGAAAUGCGUAGAUAUCAGGAGGAACACCUGUGGUGUAGACAGCUUGCUGGACCAUUUCUGACGCUGAGACACGAAAGCGUGGGUAGCAAACAGG
rnacentral:rRNA from 1 species